ACAGCCACCUGGUGUGCUGGUUUCAGAUCCUAUCUGCACACGAAGUUCAUCAAACUUUAAAGAACAAAAACCUGCCACUGGAUGUCUUGUCCUUGCCACGCAAGGUGCUUCGGUGAAAAGGAAACCUAAUGAAGAUGAAUUCGAGCUUAACCGCGUGCAAAUGACCUCUUCCCUGAGGGAAGCAGCUCCUCCUUUGCAUCGCGGAUGAUGGCAGGCUGCCUGCACCUCCGAGCACGUCGCCAGCGCUGCUCGUGUAACCUGUGCAGGCAGUACCCACCUCGAGAAGGCUCCUUGCAUUGGCAUGGAUGCAGCAGGGAGGGUGUGAAGGGCAACUGCAGCUGAAGAUGCUGAGCCAGCUGGGGCUGCUGCCAAGCAUCCCCCGACUCACCUGGACCAGCCGAAGAGGGGCGGUGCGGCACAGGAGAAGGCCAUUAUCCAGGUAAAAGCGAUGCCCAUCAUGGCGUGGGUCGCGGAGAAGCGGAAGUUUCCCAUGGGCUUGCAGACGACGAUGUAGCGUUCGAUGGCCAGGACCACCAGGGACCACAGGGCAACCUGGCCUGCGGGAGGGAGGGAAGGAGAGCGUGCGGUGGUGGUGGGAGCUCCUCUGGGCUUGUGCUUCCCUUCGUGGUCACAGUGAAGAGCAGCGGGGAUGGAGGGGUGGGGGAUCAGCAAAGGAUAACCCACGUCCCAUGCGGUAACUGAGAACCUCCCUCAGACGUGUAAAAGGUCUGGGAGCUGAGGGAGCAUCUGCGUUGUGGUGGGAUGCUGGUGAUGGAGGAGGGGGAUCGUUGUUGAUUUUUUGUUGAUUUAAAAAAAAAAAAUCAACAGGCAGUAAGGGCGCAAGGAAGCAUAGUUUCUGGCAAAGAUGCCAGAUGCGUUCAGACCUGUUGAUGCCUUUAAAUGUGUGUUUCAGGAGUCUUCUGCCAGUGCUGGAUCGGGGGGAGGCAUGCAGGGGAGGCUGUGUGGGUGAGCGUGCAUGCACAUGUAUUUAUAAGGGAUAAUUAAACUUCAGGGGAUUGGGAGCGUUUAGUCGGUGCUGUAAGCCUGCUAAUGCCCCCAGCUGUGAUAAUCUGCUGAUAACUACACCCUGUGCUAGGAUUCACUGGAGACCUGCUGCUCAGUGAUUGCUUCCCAUCAA